rnacentral:rRNA from 2 species
AACGGCGAGUGAAGCGGCAACAGCUCAAAUUUGAAAUCUGGCGUCUUCGGCGUCCGAGUUGUAAUUUGCAGAGGGCGCUUUGGCAUUGGCAGCGGUCCAAGUUCCUUGGAACAGGACGUCACAGAGGGUGAGAAUCCCGUACGUGGUCGCUAGCCUUUACCGUGUAAAGCCCCUUCGACGAGUCGAGUUGUUUGGGAAUGCAGCUCUAAAUGGGAGGUAAAUUUCUUCUAAAGCUAAAUACUGGCCAGAGACCGAUAGCGCACAAGUAGAGUGAUCGAAAGAUGAAAAGCACUUUGGAAAGAGAGUUAAAAAGCACGUGAAAUUGUUGAAAGGGAAGCGCUUGCAGCCAGACUUGCCUGUAGUUGCUCAUCCGGGUUUCUACCCGGUGCACUCUUCUAUAGGCAGGCCAGCAUCAGUUUGGGCGGUUGGAUAAAGGUCUCUGUCAUGUACCUCUCUUCGGGGAGAACUUAUAGGGGAGACGACAUGCAACCAGCCUGGACUGAGGUCCGCGCAUCUGCUAGGAUGCUGGCGUAAUGGCUGUAAGCGGCCCGUCUUGAAACACGGACCAAGGAGUCUAACAUCUAUGCGAGUGUUUGGGUGUCAAGCCCGAGCGCGUAAUGAAAGUGAACGGAGGUGGGAACCUUUCGGGGUGCACCAUCGACCGAUCCUGAUGUCUUCGGAUGGAUUUGAGUAAGAGCAUAGCUGUUGGGACCCGAAAGAUGGUGAACUAUGCUUGAAUAGGGUGAAGCCAGAGGAAACUCUGGUGGAGGCUCGCAGCGGUUCUGACGUGCAAAUCGAUCGUCAAAUUUGGGCAUAGGGGCGAAAGACUAAUCGAACUAUCUAGUAGCUGGUUCCUGCCGAAGUUUCCCUCAGGAUAGCAGUAACGUUUUCAGUUUUAUGAGGUAAAGCGAAUGAUUAGAGGCCUGGGGGUUGAAACAACCUU